CAGAGGGGGCAAGCGUUAUUCGGAAUUAUUGGGCGUAAAGGGCGCGUAGGCGGCUUUUCAAGUGACGGGUGAAAUCCCUCGGCUUAACCGAGGAACUGCCUGUCAGACUGGAAGGCUUGAGACCGGGAGAGGUGAGUGGAAUUCCCAGUGUAGCGGUGAAAUGCGUAGAUAUUGGGAAGAACACCAGUGGCGAAGGCGGCUCACUGGACCGGAACUGACGCUGAGGCGCGAAAGCGUGGGGAGCAAACAGGAUUAGAUACCCUGGUAGUCCACGCCGUAAACGAUGAGUGCUUGGUGUAGCGGGUAUCAACCCCUGCUGUGCCGAAGUCAACACAUUAAGCACUCCGCCUGGGGAGUACGGUCGCAAGACUG
rnacentral:rRNA from 1 species